rnacentral:lncRNA from 1 species
AUAGCCCUGGGGGGGGGCUGGCCAACUUCGUCGGCCGGACUCGGAAUGGCACGAGACUUUGCGAGCGGGCUCCGUGUGCCAAAAAUAGGCCGCCGGACUCGGUAUGGUGCGAGACUUUACGACACGCCUCGGUGUGCCAAAAAUAGGCCGCGGGCAAAGCCGCGCCCAAAAAUAACCUACCGAAGGCCGGGGCGCCAAGUUCGUCCAGCAGAAAAAAGCCACAAAACGGGUGGGCUAUAGCCUUGGGGGGUGGGGCUGGCCAACUUCGUCCGCCGGACUCGGAAUAGCGCGAGACCUUACGAGCGGCCUCCGUGUUCCAAAAAUAGGCCGCGGGCACAGCCGUACACAAAAAUAACUGCCCGAAGGCCGGGGCGCCAAGUUCGUCCAGCGGAAAAAGGCCAAAAAAACGGGUGGGCUAUAGCCUUGGGGGGUGGGGCGGGCCAACUUCGUUCGCCGGACUCGGAAGGGCGCGACACUUUGCGAGCGGCCUCCGUGUGCCAAAAAUAGGCCGUGGACACAGCCGCGUCCAAAAAUAACCGUCCGAAGGCCGGGGCGCCAAGUUCGUCCAGCGGAAAAUGGCCACAAAAACGGGUGGGCUAUAGCCUUGGGGGGUGGGGCUGGCCAACUUCGUCCGCCGGACUCGGAAUGGCGCGAGACUUUGUGAGGGGCCUCCAUGUGCCAAAAAUAGGCCGUGGGCGCAGCCGCGCCCAAAAAUCACCGCCCGAAGGCCGGGGCGCCAAGUUCGCCCUGCGGAAAAAGGCCACAAAAACGGGUGGGCUAUAGCCUUGGGGGUUGGGGCUGGCCAACUUCGUCCGCCGGACUCGGAAUGGCGCGAGACUUUGCGAGCGGCCUCCGUGUGCCAAAAAAAGGCCGCGGGUGCAGCUGCGCCUAAAAAUCACCGCCCGAAGGCCGGGGCGCCAAGUUAGUCCAGCGGAAAAAGGCCACAAAAACGGGUGGGCUAUAGCCCUGGGGGGCGGGACUGGUCAACUUCGUCCGCCGGACUCGGAAUGGCGCGAGACUUUGCGAGCGGGCUCCGUGUGCCAAAAAUAGGCCGCCGGACUCGGUAUGGUACGAGACUUUGCGAGGCGCCUCGGUGUGCCAAAAAUAGGCCGCGGGCAAAGCCGCGCCCAAAAAUAACCGACCGAAGGCCGGGGCGCCAAGUUCGUCGCGCGGAN